GAUGAAGAACGUAGCGAAAUGCGAUAAGUAAUGUGAAUUGCAGAAUUCAGUGAAUCAUCGAAUCUUUGAACGCACAUUGCGCCCGCCAGUAUUCUGGCGGGCAUGCCUGUUCGAGCGUCAUUUCAACUAUCAACCCCAGGCUUGUAUUGGAGCCCUGCGGCUGCCGCAGCCUCCCAAAAUCAGUGGCGGGCUCGCUAUCACACCGAGUGCAGUAGUUUACUCUUCGCUUAGGUUCGUAUAGCGGGUGCUAGCCGUGAAACCCCCCACUUCUCAUGGUUGACCUCGGAUCAGGUAGGAAUACCCGCUGAACUUAAGCAUAUCAAUAAGCGGAGGA
rnacentral:misc_RNA from 1 species